GACGAACGCUGGCGGCGUGCUUAACACAUGCAAGUCGAACGGAAAGGCCCUGUUUGCAGGGUACUCGAGUGGCGAACGGGUGAGUAACACGUGGGUGAGCUGCCCUGCACUUAGGGAUAAGCCUGAGAAACUGGGUCUAAUACCGGAUAGGUGCCAUUUUUAGAGUGAUGGUUGGAAAGUUUUUUCGGUGUAGGAUGCGCUCGCGGCCUAUCAGCCUGUGGGUUGGGUAAUGGCCUACAAAGGCGGCGACGGGUAGCCGGCUUGAGAGGGUGCACGGCCACAUUGGGACUGAGAUACCGCCCAGACUCCUACGGGAGGCAGCAGUGGGGAAUAUUGCACGAUGGGCGGAAUCAUGAUGCAGCGACGCCGCGUCGUGGAUGACGGCCUUCGGGUUGUAAACUUCUUUCGCUAGGGACGAAGCUUUUGUGACGGUACCUAGACAAGAAGCACCGUCUAACUACGUG
rnacentral:rRNA from 1 species